UACGUAGGCAGCGAGCGUUGUUCGGAGUUACUGGGCGUAAAGGGUGUGUAGGCGGUCUUCUAAGUUUGGUGUGAAAUCUCCCGGCUCAACUGGGAGGGUGCGCCGAAAACUGGGAGGCUAGAGUGCGGGAUGGGAGAGUGGAAUUCCUGGUGUAGCGGUGAAAUGCAUUGAGAUCGGAAAGAACACCAACGGCGAAAGCACUCUGCUGGGCCGACACUGACACUGAGAGACGAGAGCUAGGGGAGCAAAUGGG
rnacentral:rRNA from 1 species